AGCAGCCGCGGUAAUUCCAGCUCCAAUAGCGUAUAUUAAAGUUGUUGCAGUUAAAAAGCUCGUAGUUGAAUUUCGGGAUCAAUUAAUUGGUCGUGCCUAUGGUACGUACUGUCGUCAUCGAUUUCUCCCUUCUGACGAACCAUGAUGUCAUUAAUUUGGUGUUAUGGGAAAUCAGGACUGUUACUUUGAAAAAAUUAGAGUGUUUAAAGCAGGCAUUAGCUUGAAUACAUUAGCAUGGAAUAAUGAAAUAGGACGUUCGAACCUAUUUUGUUGGUUUUUAGGAUCAACGUAAUGAUUAAUAGGGAUAGUUGGGGGCAUUAGUAUUCAAUUGUCAGAGGUGAAAUUCUUGGAUUUAUUGAAGACUAACUACUGCGAAAGCAUUUGCCAAGGAUGUUUUCAUUAAUCAAGAACGAAAGUUAGGGGAUCGAAGACGAUCAGAUACCGUCGUAG
rnacentral:rRNA from 1 species